UAAACGACUCUCGGCAACGGAUAUCUCGGCUCUCGCAUCGAUGAAGAACGUAGCGAAAUGCGAUACUUGGUGUGAAUUGCAGAAUCCCGUGAACCAUCGAGUCUUUGAACGCAAGUUGCGCCCGAAGCCUUUUGGCCGAGGGCACGUCUGCCUGGGCGUCAC
rnacentral:rRNA from 1 species